rnacentral:tRNA from 1 species
AUUUAAAUAGUUUAAGAAAAAUAUUGGUUUUGGGAAUCAAAGAUAUUAAUAAAAAUUUUAAAUU